CCUACGGGAGGCUGCAGUGGGGAAUAUUGCACAAUGGGCGCAAGCCUGAUGCAGCCAUGCCGCGUGUGUGAAGAAGGCCUUCGGGUUGUAAAGCACUUUCAGCGGGGAGGAAGGCGGUGAGGUUAAUAACCUCAUCGAUUGACGUUACCCGCAGAAGAAGCACCGGCUAACUCCGUGCCAGCAGCCGCGGUAAUACGGAGGGUGCAAGCGUUAAUCGGAAUUACUGGGCGUAAAGCGCACGCAGGCGGUCUGUCAAGUCGGAUGUGAAAUCCCCGGGCUCAACCUGGGAACUGCAUUCGAAACUGGCAGGCUAGAGUCUUGUAGAGGGGGGUAGAAUUCCAGGUGUAGCGGUGAAAUGCGUAGAGAUCUGGAGGAAUACCGGUGGCGAAGGCGGCCCCCUGGACAAAGACUGACGCUCAGGAGCGAAAGCGUGGGGAGCAAACAGGAUUAGAUACCCCAGUAGUC
rnacentral:rRNA from 1 species